GAGAUCAUAGUACUAAGAACGGAAAAAUACAUUCUGCUAGAAUGAGUUGCAGGUUCGAAUCCUGCUGAUCUUCCCA
rnacentral:tRNA from 1 species